rnacentral:rRNA from 1 species
UACAGAGGUCUCAAGCGUUGUUCGGAUUCAUUGGGCGUAAAGGGUGCGUAGGUGGCGCGGUAAGUCGGGUGUGAAAUCUCGGAGCUUAACUCCGAAAUUGCAUUCGAUACUGCCGUGCUCGAGGACUGGAGAGGAGACUGGAAUUCAUGGUGUAGCAGUGAAAUGCGUAGAGAUCAUGAGGAAGACCAGUGGCGAGGGCGGGUCUCUGGACAGUUCCUGACACUGAGGCACGAAGGCCAGGGGAGCAAACGGG